rnacentral:tRNA from 3 species
CGGCGUGUAGCGCAGCCCGGUAGCGCACUACGUUCGGGACGUAGGGGUCGCAGGUUCAAAUCCUGCCACGCCGA